rnacentral:misc_RNA from 1 species
AAUUCUCAACUUCUCUAGUUUUUUGACUAGUAGAUAGCUUGGAUGUGGGGGUUUUUGCAGGCUUUCACAAGUCAGCUCCCCUUAAAUAUAUUAGCCGGUAUUAUCUGACCGUCUAUUAAUGUGAUAAUUAUCUACAUUGUAGACUUUCAAGUUGUACUGCUUAUAACCGUCCUGUAUAGGACAAUUUAUGACA